GCUGGGAUAGCUCAGUCAUUAGAGCAUGUGAGUUAAUCUUAGGGUUGUGGGUUCAAGCCCCACAUUGGGCA